GUAAAAGCAUUUUGUUUUUUAAACAAAGUGUAAUUUUUUAGGCUGCGGCUAGUUAUCUUUAAUAAGAUCAUUGGUUUUAAUUAACCUCAGGUCUUAUGGAUAGCAAGAGGUAUCGGCCUCUUUUUUGUAAGCUUCGGCUAUAAGCGAUUUAUUCGCAUAAAGUUCUAUAUAUAAUACGGAUGAUGACUAUUUUAUAUAUAUAAGUCUUGACUAAAACACGUGCCAGCAGUCGCGGUAACACGGGAUAGACGAGUGUUAUUCAUCUUUAAUAGGUUUAAAGGGUACCUAGACGGCAAAUCAAGUCCCCAUUGAACUGGAGGGUACUAAUUUGCUAGAGUUUUAUGUGAGAGGAAUUUAGUACUAACAGAGUAGAGAUGAAAUUCUUUGAUACUGUAGGGCACUGGUAACGGCGAAGGCAGAUCUUUAUGUAAAAACUGACGUUGAGGGACGAAGGCUUGGGUAACAAACAGGAUUAGGUACCCUAAUAGUCCAGGCAGAGACUGAUGAGUGCCAUAGAUUAGAGUAAUUUUGAUCUAUAAAUGAAAGUGUAAGCAUUCCACCUUAAGAGUAAUGCGGCAACGCAGGAACUGAAAUCAUUAGACCGUUUCUGAUACCAGUAGUGAAGUAUGUUGUUUAAUUCGAUGAUCCACGAAAAAUCUUACCACAAUUUGAAUAUUAUAGCAACAUUAGGCAAGUUUUAUUAUUAUUAAUAAAAAGUAAUUGCUAAUAAUACAGGUGUUGCAUGGCUGUCUUCAGUUCAUGUCGUGAGAUGCAGGUUAGCUCCAGUAAAUGAACGUGAACCCAUAUUUUAUUUUAAUCGGUUUAUAAUAUAGCCGUUUACAUAGAAUAGUUCCCCGG
rnacentral:rRNA from 1 species